rnacentral:sRNA from 1 species
UCAGCGUGCUCCGGGCGUCGGCC